AACAUCGGUUCCUCCUCGAGAGGCAUCGGUGCUGCAGGGAAGCCGAAGAGUGUGCUACCUGGGAAGUAUGGUCGCAAGGCUGAAACUUAAAGGAAUAGGCGGGGAGACACUACAACAGGUGACGCGUGCGGUUCAAUUAGAUUACACACCGUGAACCUCACCAGGAGCGACAGCAGGAUGAAGGUCAGUCUAAAGGGCUUACCUGACACGCUGAGCGGAGAUGCAUGGCCGACGUCAGCCUGUGUUGUGAGAUGACCUGUUAAAUCAGGUAACAGGCAAGACCCUCAUACCUAUUUAUUUUCUAUAGGUAGAUUGCCUUGGUAACAAGGAUGAGAGCGAGGGCUACGUUAGGUGAGUACAUCCCUAAUCCCCUGGGCGACACGCGCGCGUCAAUGGCGAAUACAACGGGAUGCGACGCAGAAAUGCGAAGCCAAUCUCUUAAAGUUCGUCUCAGUCCAGAUCGAGGUUUGCAACUCAGCCUCGUGACGCUGGAAUCUGUAGUAAUCGUUUGUUAUCAGCGAACGGUGAAUAUGUCACUGUCUCUUGCACUCACUGCCCGUCAAACCAACCGAGUUUAGUUAUGGUGAAAUCUUCGGAGAGAACUUUGGCUAGACAAGGUAGGUUAAGUCGUAACAAGGUAGCC
rnacentral:rRNA from 1 species